AAUCUUAUUAGAGUGUUGGCAAAAGAGUGGGCCGGGUCCUGUAGAGCAGGGUGACGUCUGAAUUAUUGGAGUGUUUGCAAAAGAGUGGGUCGAGUCCUGUAGAGCAGGGUGAAAGCUACUUCUUAUUUUUAUUUUUAGGUUUUUUAUUUUUUUAUUAAAUCGGUGACAAAGUUAAAACUAAAAAUUACUAAAAUAAAUAUACGAGAAACCCAGGUGGACUAUUUGAACUUUUUUGUAUAUAAUUUAACGAAAUGUUAACGGAGGAGCUUACGAAAAGAAAAAAAUAAAAUCACAAGAUAAUAAAUUGAUACACUUUAAACCACAUAAUAUUAAAGUAAAAAAAUGUGAAACCAUAUAAAUGAUAUUUAAAGUUUACGCUUAUAAUUAAGAUGUAUACGCGAUGAAGUGUUCAAUGG
rnacentral:lncRNA from 1 species